AGUUCCAAUAGCGUACAUUAAAAUUGUUGCGGCUAAAAAGCUCGUAAUUGGAUUUCUGCCGAGGACGACCGGUCCGCCCUGUGGGUGAGCAUCUGGAUCGGCCUGGGCAUCUUCUUGGGGAACGUAGCUGCACUUGAUUGUGUGGUGCGGUAUCCAAGAUUUUUAUCUUGAGGAAAUUAGAAUGUUUCAAGCAGGCGCACGCCUUGAAUACAUUAGCAUGGAAUAAUAAGAUAAGACCUCGGUUCUAUUUUGUUGGUUUCUAGAGUUGAGGUAAUGAUUAAUAAGGAUAGUUGGGGGCAUUCGUAUUUAAUUGUCAGAGGUGAAAUUAUUGGAUUUGUUAAAGACGGACUAUUGCGAAAGCAUUUGCCAAGGAUGUUUUCA
rnacentral:rRNA from 1 species